rnacentral:rRNA from 1 species
UACGAAGGGGACUAGCGUUGUCCGGAAUUAUUGGGCGUAAAGAGCUCGUAGGCGGUUUGUCGCGUCUGCUGUGAAAACUCGGGGCUUAACCCCGGGCCUGCAGUGGGUACGGGCAGACUAGAGUGCGGUAGGGGAGACUGGAAUUCCUGGUGUAGCGGUGAAAUGCGCAGAUAUCAGGAGGAACACCGGUGGCGAAGGCGGGUCUCUGGGCCGUAACUGACGCUGAGGAGCGAAAGCGUGGGGAGCGAACAGG